AGCGAACGCUGGCGGCAGGCUUAACACAUGCAAGUCGAGCGGGCACUUCGGUGUCAGCGGCAGACGGGUGAGUAACACGUGGGAACGUACCCUUCGGUUCGGAAUAACGCUGGGAAACUAGCGCUAAUACCGGAUACGCCCUUUUGGGGAAAGGUUUACUGCCGAAGGAUCGGCCCGCGUCUGAUUAGCUAGUUGGUGGGGUAAUGGCCUACCAAGGCGACGAUCAGUAGCUGGUCUGAGAGGAUGAUCAGCCACACUGGGACUGAGACACGGCCCAGACUCCUACGGGAGGCAGCAGUGGGAAAUAUUGGACAAUGGGCGCAAGCCUGAUCCAGCCAUGCCGCGUGAGUGAUGAAGGCCUUAGGGUUGUAAAGCUCUUUUGUCCGGGACGAUAGUGACGGUACCGGAAGAAUAAGCCCCGGCUAACUUCG
rnacentral:rRNA from 1 species